rnacentral:rRNA from 1 species
AUGUCGGUGACGGUGUCGGCGACGAGCGAGCUGUUCGGCACCAAGAACUUCGACGUCAACCACAACGUGCUGGUGUCCAACAUCCCCAUGGGGUCGCUCUGCUUCGGCUACUUCUCGGCGUUCCUGUACCAGCGGGAGGCCGGCGCGCGCGGGGCCGCCACCUGCUCCGGCGCCAGCUGCUACCAGGCCACCUUCGCCAUCUGGGGCGCCACCUGCGUCGUCAGCACGCUGCUCUGCGUCGUCCUCUACGUCCGCUCCCGCAGCUUCGCCGGCAGGCUGCCGGUCAGGUUACAGUGGCUGUCGCGCUUAGCUAACCUCGUCAGGGAUCCCGGGCUAGGGAUAGAAGGAAUGGAAGAAAUAGAUGAUGAUGACAAGCUUGAGGAAAUUCUAGACAACAUAGCAUUGCAAAAUCAGAAGAUAUUGAAUGUGACAGUUGUUAGGGCCAGUUCUCCCAAUGCUGCAAGUAUAAACACCAACUCCAAUGUUAUUGAGCAGCAAAUCCCUCUAGAAGAAAUUGGAGAGCCCAAACUGUAUCAGAUAGAUGAAGAAGGAGUGUUGUUCAGUGCACCAGAUGUGCAUGUAGCAGCAGCAAGUUCAGAAGCAACAGCAAGUUCAGAAGUAGCAGAAGUGGAGCCAAUGCCCAUACAGUUUCAAACACAGCAUAACACCAAUUUGGAGGAGCAACUUGCUUUAGGUUAUGUACAAGUGGAAGAAAAUCAUGUGUACAAUUCAGAUGAGCAAAUGGAAAUUGAAAAGGUUAUGGAGGAGACAAGGAGGAAGGAAAUUGAAAUGUUUAGGAAUAAUAAGAAAAAUAAAGAGAAGGUCACUUCUGUGAAGAGAAAAGUUGCAGUGAUGGAUAAUGAGGAGGACAGUGGUGAUGAUAAUUUGGAAGAAUAUGGUCUAGAUGGAUGCUUCAUAAAGCUCACUACUGGUCAACAGAUCCUUGCUGCUACUGGAAGAGAUGGGAACAAUAAUAUAUUUCCCAUUGCUUUUGGAAUUGUUGAUAAGGAGGACACAGAUUCCUGGACUUGGUUUUUGUAUCAGCUGAAGGUAGCACUAGGUGGCCAAUCUGGGAAGUUUGGCAACUACAUAAUAAUUUCUGAUAGGCAGAAGGGCCUGCUUAAAGCCAUAAAAAGAGUCUUUCCCAAUUGUCCACAAAGGCUAAGCUUCAGCCAGGACUUUGUUGAUGAUUUCUUCAAAAAACCUAUGUACCUGGCAGCUUACAGUCCUAUAAUAUAUCCUGUACCUGGCCCUGACAUGUGGCCAAGGACAAAUAGUUUGGACAUUGAGUCUCCUGUUUUCAAAGAACACAAGGGCAGAGCGCAGACUAAGAGGAGAAAGGGCCAAUUUGAGAAGCCAGCUCCCAAAGACACUUCAAGAAUGGACUCAAUUACCUGCUCCAACUAUAAUAAGGUGGGACAUAGGUACACCAAUUGCCAUGAUGCUCUAAAGCCUGCACUUGCUAUGAGAAAGAACAAACAUCAGCCAAGCACCAACUCUUACCCACCUGAUAGUAGAAGCACACCAGCACCAGCAAGGACUGCAGCAUCUGCUGCUGCCAGUCUAGCUCCAGCAAGGACUGCAGCCUCUGCUGCUGCCACUGCUGGUGGAUCAUCAAGGAGGGCAACACCUGCUACCAGUCCAGCUCUAGCAAGGAGGGCAACAUCUGCUGCUGCUCCAGCUAGGAGGCAUCCAGCUGCUCCAGCUACUACCAAGGGUAAGGCAGCAGCCAAUAAAUCUUCAUCAUCUGCUCCCAAGAGUAAGGCACCAGCUGCUCCCAAGGGUAAGGCACCAGCAACCAGAUCUUCAUCAGCAGCUGCAAAGGGACCAAGGUUAGCUUUCAUGCCUCCAAGACCAAGUGAUGGUUCCCAGAGAUUCAGGAAGCCCAACAACAGAAUGAAGGAUUACUUGACUGCCUCUAGUGCAGAAUGGUGA